rnacentral:misc_RNA from 1 species
GCUGGAUGAACUUCAAGAUCAUGUUGAAUCUAUUGAUAUGGCCAAUGAUCUGCACACUAUUGGUGGCUUAGUUCCGCUUCUUGGUUACCUGAAAAACUCCGAUGCUGGCAUUCGAGCAAAGGCUGCAGAUGUCGUAACAACUAUUGUGCAGAACAAUCCCCGUAGCCAACAGCUGGUAAUGGAAGCUAGUGGGCUUGAGCCUCUUCUUACCAACUUUACAUCAGAUCCUGAUGUGACUGUACGUACAAAA